GACGAACGCUGGCGGCGUGCUUAGCACAUGCAAGUCGAACGGAAAGGCCCUGCUUUUGUGGGGUGCUCGAGUGGCGAACGGGUGAGUAACACGUGAGUAACCUGCCCUUGACUUUGGGAUAACUUCAGGAAACUGGGGCUAAUACCGGAUAGGAGCUCCUGCUGCAUGGUGGGGGUUGGAAAGUUUCGGCGGUUGGGGAUGGACUCGCGGCUUAUCAGCUUGUUGGUGGGGUAGUGGCUUACCAAGGCUUUGACGGGUAGCCGGCCUGAGAGGGUGACCGGCCACAUUGGGACUGAGAUACGGCCCAGACUCCUACGGGAGGCAGCAGUGGGGAAUAUUGCACAAUGGGCGGAAGCCUGAUGUAGCAACGCCGCGUGCGGGAUGACGGCCUUCGGGUUGUAAACCGCUUUCGCCUGUGACGAAGCGUGAGUGACGGUAAUGGGUAAAGAAGCACCGGCUAACUACGUG
rnacentral:rRNA from 1 species